rnacentral:pre_miRNA from 1 species
AUUCUACUCCCUCCGUUCCACAAUACAUGCCUUCUAUUUGUCAAAAUAUAGAUGUAUCUAGACAUGUUUUAGUAUAUAGGUACAUCCAUUUUUGGACAAAUGGAAGUGAAGUAUUUUGGAAUGGAGGGAGUACAGA